ensembl:lncRNA
CUGGAAUUAGAACAAAUAAUGGUCAAUGAGAACCGGAACAUACAUUGUGCUGUGUGACAGAUCAAUAUAAUGGGAAAGGCAUUACAACAGAGGUCUGAUGACAGAAGGACUAGCACGAUAGAAAGGUGCCAUAAGUACUGUAAAGGAAGGGAAGAAGAUUGCUUACCUGUAUAAGAAGACACUAGGUUGGUACAUGAAAGCUCCUCCAAAAGUGUUUGUUGGGGAGAGGAUAAAGGAUCUCUAGAAAAACAGCCUUCCCUAGUGGCAGUCAGCCCUUAAAUGAGGUCUAAGAGAGGUGCGGCCAGGCUGUGACUCAGCAGUUACCAUGCAGCUUUCAGUACAAGCAGAAAUAAAAUCGCAUCUCAAUUGUUGCAACUCAUUGAGUAGGGUAAAUACUAGAACUAAUUCAUUAUUGUGGAACUAAAUAAACAUUGGUACUCUGGUAUAAGCCUGAGGGCAAAUCCACGUGGAUUCUUUUUUGUUAUCAAGGCCAUGCUUGGUUACUACUACAAGGGCCAAAAUUUCUUCAAGUUUCACUAUUCUGUUUAUUUAAAGUAAAUACAGGGGACAAAAGUGAAUUUACCAGGCUUUCAAGUGCAUUCCAGUUAGGGAUCUGAACACAGAUCUAAUUAGAUCUAUGAGAAUUGGGUAUUCCUUAUAGCAAAAUGUUGUAAUGAAAAUUGAAAUAGCCCAUACAUGUAACAAUACAAAUUGACAAAGUUGAAAAACCUUGAACUUCUGUCCUUGUUGAGUCAUUAAAUGAUUUAAUGUUGUAGAAGUCUUUGGAUACCCAAGAGAACGCCUAUAGCAUUUAUUUGUGAUUUCAUAAACUAUUAAGGCUGCUGUUUAAAUAAUCAGGUGGUUAGUCCGAAUUUGCUUCUCAACACAAGUUCCCAGUUUAAACAGGCAGUUGCUUCAAAUCUGUGGGCAUGGCGUUCAUCUUCCAUUCAUGGAGAUAGCAAAACAUUUGAUUGCAUGCAUUUAUAUUGGAAGGCCACAUUGAUUGAAUUAUCAUAAAGAUAUGAUAAAUAUCGUAAAGAAGAUUACAUAAAUGUUCUAUUAACCAUCCUGGGUCCCAUGAGUUGCUGAAUAUUCCUCAUGUUUUGCCUCUUUCUCCUUAUCAUUUCCAGUCAGGUGGAAGCUUGCUCAGCACCAUACAAUUACGCUGAAGGGAAAAGGUGUGAUAUGUUUUC